UACGGAAGGCAGCAGUGGGGAAUAUUGCACAAUGGGCGAAAGCCUGAUGCAGCUAUGCCGCGUGUAUGAAGAAGGCCUUAGGGUUGUAAAGUACUUUCAUCGGGGAGGAAAAAACAAAACUAAUAAUUUUAUUUCUUGACGUUACCCGAAAAAGAAGCACCGGCUAACUCCGUGCCAGCAGCCGCGGUAAUACGGAGGGUGCUAGCGUUAAUCAGAAUUACUGGGCGUAAACGAGCACGUAGGUGGUUUUUUUAAGUCAGAUGUGAAAUCCCUGGGCUUAACCUGGAAACUGCAUUUUGAAACUGAAAUACUAGAGUAUCGUAGAGGGAGGUAGAAUUCUAGGUGUAGCGGUGAAAUGCGUAGAUAUCUGGAGGAAUACCUGUGGCGAAAGCGGCCUCCUAAACGAAUACUGACACUGAGGGUGCGAAAGCCGUGGGGAGCAAACAGGGAUUAGAUACC
rnacentral:rRNA from 1 species